AUCCAGCUGACGAGCCCCAAAUAGGACGAAAUCCGCAUCCUGAAU
rnacentral:hammerhead_ribozyme from 1 species